GACAGUUUUAAAUGAUGUUACUUU
rnacentral:miRNA from 1 species